GGGGUCUUAGCUCAAUUGGUUAGAGCGUCGGCCUGUCACGCCGAAGGUUGCGGGUUCAAGUCCCGUAGAUCCCGCCA
rnacentral:tRNA from 1 species